rnacentral:misc_RNA from 1 species
AACGCACAUUGCGCCCCCUGGUAUUCCGGGGGGCAUGCCUGUCCGAGCGUCAUUGCUGCCCUCAAGCACGGCUUGUGUGUUGGGCCCCGUCCUCCGAUUCCGGGGGACGGGCCCGAAAGGCAGCGGCGGCACCGCGUCCGGUCCUCGAGCGUAUGGGGCUUUGUCACCCGCUCUGUAGGCCCGGCCGGCGCUUGCCGAUCAACCCAAAUUUUUAUCCAGGUUGACCUCGGAUCAGGUAGGGAUACCCGCUGAACUUAA